CCUACGGGGGGCUGCAGUGGGGAAUUGUUCGCAAUGGGCGCAAGCCUGACGACGCAACGCCGCGUGGAGGAUGAAGAUCUUCGGGUCGUAAACUCCUUUCGAUCGAGACGAAUGGCCCUUGGGCUAAUCACCAGGGGAAUGACGGUACCGAGAGAAGAAGCCCCGGCUAACUCCGUGCCAGCAGCCGCGGUAAUACGGGGGGGGCAAGCGUUGUUCGGAAUUACUGGGCGUAAAGGGCUCGUAGGCGGCCAACUAAGUCAGACGUGAAAUCCCUCGGCUCAACCGGGGAACUGCGUCUGAUACUGGAUGGCUUGAAUCCGGGAGAGGGAUGCGGAAUUCCAGGUGUAGCGGUGAAAUGCGUAGAUAUCUGGAGGAACACCGGUGGCGAAGGCGGCAUCCUGGACCGGCAUUGACGCUGAGGAGCGAAAGCCAGGGGAGCAAACGGGAUUAGAUACCCCAGUAGUC
rnacentral:rRNA from 1 species